UACAAUGGCCCAUCUGGCAAGAAGAACUGC
rnacentral:piRNA from 1 species